UACAGAGGUCUCAAGCGUUGUUCGGAUUCAUUGGGCGUAAAGGGUGCGUAGGCGGCGCGGUAAGUCGGGUGUGAAAUCUCGGAGCUUAACUCCGAAACUGCAUUCGAUACUGCCGUGCUUGAGGACUGGAGAGGAGACUGGAAUUUACGGUGUAGCAGUGAAAUGCGUAGAUAUCAAGAGGAACACCUGCGGCGAAGGCGGGUUGCUGGGCCGACACUGACGCUGAGGCGCGAAAGCUAGGGGAGCGAACGGG
rnacentral:rRNA from 1 species